rnacentral:rRNA from 1 species
AGUGGACGCUGGCGGUAGGCCUAACACAUGCAAGUCGAACGGCAGCACAGUAAGAGCUUGCUCUUACGGGUGGCGAGUGGCGGACGGGUGAGGAAUACAUCGGAAUCUACUUUUUCGUGGGGGAUAACGUAGGGAAACUUACGCUAAUACCGCAUACGACCUACGGGUGAAAGCAGGGGAUCUUCGGACCUUGCGUGAAUGAAUGAGACGAUGUCGGAUUAGCUAGUUGGCGGGGUAAAGGCCCACCAAGGCGACGAUACGUAGCUGGUCUGAGAGGAUGAUCAGCCACACUGGAACUGAGACACGGUCCAGACUCCUACGGGAGGCAGCAGUGGGGAAUAUUGGACAAUGGGCGCAAGCCUGAUCCAGCCAUACCGCGUGAGUGAAGAAGGCCUUCGGGUUGUAAAGCCCUUUUGUUGGGAAAGAAAAGCAGCAGGUUAAUACCCCGCUGUUCUGACGGUACCCAAAGAAUAAGCACCGGCUAACUUCGUG